UGCUGACCAGGGUGCAGAGUCGCCGACGGGGGAUUCGGCGUCUACUGGGUUUUAUACGAUCUCUGAUGCGCCGGGAAGAAGAUAUUUUGGAGCUGCGGCGUUGGCUGUGGGGGCAAUGGUGGCGGGCUUUAUUUUGGUUGUUGCUUGACGAUAGACGGAUUGGUAAACCUGACUGAUAAUAGAGAGUGGAGUAGAGAGAUGGGGAGCGGAAUUGACAUUUUUUGUUUGUUUGUUUGGAGGGGUAUUCUUAAUAUAGGUAGUAGUUAGAGAAAGAUUGGGAGUUUAUUUGCUGGUUUCGUGGCUAAUUCAUGUGCUCGGUAUGUAAGUUAUCAGGCUAUAUAGAUAGAUACGAUUAUUGUUUUUAAUUGGAGCAGAUAUUUAGUAGUUAUGGUUCUGUUG